GUUGCUGCCAUGGGAGCAGUGAAAUACAGCAUGGAAAGAAAUUUAGAGGCCAGGAGCUGAAGGCUGGGCAGGAAAAUGGGAAGAAAAAGAAAGGACUAGAGGAAAGAGCAUCCUGAAGUGCAUCCUACGUUUCUAGAGCAAGAUACAAUCAGGGGAAAAAACCCGAAGGAAAUCACACACAGCAGAUUUCCAUGCCCCCAGUGAUGUGAAUCCUACACUGCUUCUGAAGACACACACAUCCAUAGCAGUAACACAUUAAAUGUGCAACAAAGAGGAUGCUGCCUGAGCUUUUGGAUCUGUUAUCUCACCAAGAAAGAGAAAAAAAAAAGGAAGUGGGACAGGAGAAUUAGGAAGGAGGAUAGAGUGUGCAUGUUCUGAAGUGGUGGAAAAAUUCUUCCUGAGGAGAUUAACCUUUCUGUUGAUGGUCCAGAGCAAAGACCGUGUCACCUAUAACUUGCCCUUCCAGGCAUGCAGUUAUUUCUGCCUUUGAAGGAGAAGAAUAAGUUUGAAAAUGUCUUCGAAGUUCAGGUUUGGCUUUUCACAAAUGUGUUGGUUUUCUCUAAAACUGGCUAACAGCCUGAUUAAUUUUGUGGAGCUGGGCUGUGAUAUGAAAGCCUUUAGUCACUGCUGGGGGAAAAAAAGCAUGCAAAAAGAAGGAAAAAUAGUGAGACAGAACUGACAUUCAUAAUUUUGUUGAAUUCAACAGACUUUGAAUGAGUCUUUGAACCACCACAUGGUAACAAAAAAAACCCACCAGAGAUCAUUUACCAUAUCAUUUCCUCCCAAGGUCUAUUAAAUCAUCUGAUGUGACUGGAGAUGGUUCUGUCAGCUGUACUCUGAGUGUAAGAGCACAAUUAUAAUAUUGGGAUUUAUUUUGUCCAGGUCAUGAAUUUAUUUUUUUGUUUAAUUAUCACAGAUUUACAGCCUAGACAUCUUAAAACCUGAGUUUCCACUUCAAAAGUGUCUCACUCACUAUCUGCCAUAUGACCUCAUUUUAAAAUUAUGUGAGCAAAGAAUAUAAAAAGCACUGCGUGCAAUUGCCCACUGCACUUCCAGAAUCACUGCCCUCUCUGUUCCACAUCUAAGAGCCUCUGGUUAUAAAAAGAUUCUUUUAGUUGCUUAUCCUGUAUGUUCUUGUUCUUAUCUCCAAGCUUUGACCUUUUAUUUUUUAUUAUUUACCUUUGCAAAAAGCCUGUUGGCAGAAGUCUGUUCUUUUCCAUGUCAGGCUUUUCUCUAUUGUGUCUCACUGAGAUUUCUCUUGAAAUACAAACGCCAGAUUCACAAUGUUGAAUUUCAACUCCUUCCUCUGACUCUGAAAGUCCUUUUGGUUUCUAUGGUAUUAUACUCAAAGUAUGGCACACAAUGACUCCUGUCACAUCUGCUGUAAGUGCCUGUAAUUGCCCACUGCCCAAAUAAGAUUCUUAGCUGCUUUUCAUCUUUUAUGCUGCACUUCUGUAGAACAAGUCACAUUGCACUGAAUAAAGCUGGUUCAAAAACUCAACCUGAAAGAGAUCCUGCUUUGAGUUUUCUCAUUCAACUACAUAUUCCCAAGCAGAAACAGACAUUCAGUGGGAAAAGUGAUUGCUAAUUAAGGAUGGUCUUCAGUACUUUGCUAACUAGAAGUUUUACAGUUAAAUGAUGGUUCCAACUUCCUAAUUUUCUGCCCUUGCUCCCUAUUUAAAUACAUAUACCAGCAUAAGUCCAUAAUGAUAAGAUCUAUAAAGAUCCUGCCUCUCCCAAAAAAAGCAGCAAUUAAAUUGUCUUGUUUGUUAUCCUGCAAAAUUUAUAAGCAGUAAUUAUU